rnacentral:misc_RNA from 1 species
AACUUUCGGCAACGGAUCACUUGGCUCUCGCAUCGAUGAAGAACGCAGCGAAAUGCGAUACGUAAUGUGAAUUGCAGAAUUCAGUGAACCAUCGAAUCUUUGAACGCAUAUUGCACCUAUUGGUAUUCCGAUAGGUAUGCCUAUUUGAGUGUUAUGAACAACUCAUCCAAAUCCUUUGGAUGGCUUUGAGCUUGCAUUUGGCUGGCUUGAAAUUAAUUGGGUAAACACUGACCAUGUGUGUAUUGUCAUAUAUUUUAGCAAUAUUUACAUUGGUAGAUAGUAUCCCAUAAUAAAUUUUCAAUAUUAGCCUCAAAUUAGGUAGGAAUACCCGCUGAACUUAAGCAUAUCAAUAAGCGGAGGCU